rnacentral:misc_RNA from 1 species
AAGAAACAAACAAAAAAGACAAGGAUGUUAAUGAGGCCACAUGAGUAGAAAGAACAGUUAUUGUAAGCAAUAAAAAAUAUAAGCAAGCAAAGAAAAUGGAUAAAUGAAUAGUUUUCAACACACUAAAGCCAGAUAAUUCAUAUCAAGUUGACCAAUGACCAUCACAGGUAUUGCAAAUUCCCAAUCUAGAAGUUUAAUCAUUAAGGAGAGAUUUGCUUGAGUGGCA